rnacentral:ncRNA from 1 species
GGUGGAAGCAAAUAUUUAAAUGAGAACUUUGAAGUCCAAGAUCGAGAGAGGAUUUAUUUAAACAGCAGUUAAUCAUGAGUCAGUAGACACUAAGGGAUGGGAGAGGGUCGUUCUGAAGUGUGGUGAUGUUCGCAUCGCCCGGCGUACCGAAAUGGAAUCGGGUUAAUAUUCCCAAACUCGACGCGGAGAUUAGCGCUCCGGCGCCUAUAGUGCAACAAAGCAAACGAACUCGGAAACGCCGACGUGGUUCCCUGGAAAAAGUUCUUUUUUUGGUAAGGGGCGAGGACUAUGUAAUCGGUUAGCCCGGAGAUGCUGCUCGGUGAGCUCGCGUCGGCCCUUGAAAAUCCGAGGGAGAUGGUUUAAUUUUCGUUCGAGGUCGUACCCAUACUCGCAGCAGGUUUCCAAGGUGACCAUAAUCUGGCC